CCCAUAGAUUGCCCUGAAGGGGGGAGCUUUAGUUCCUUUAGUUUCUUUAGUUCACGAGUCAUUAAAUUUCGUCUGAACACAUAGAGCUUUUGGCGCAGGAGUUAUGUCAUUUCGGAUCGACCCCGGGACCCGGCGAAACACAUAUCCGAACUGACGUGUGCUUCUGCUGCUCCAGCUCCAUUAGACACACACACA
ensembl:ncRNA F43D9.7 ncRNA